GACGAACGCUGGCGGCGUGCUUAACACAUGCAAGUCGAACGAAGUGGCGAACGGGUGAGUAAUACGUGGGUAACCUGCCCUCCUUUUUGGGAUAAGCCUUGGAAACGGGGUCUAAUACCGAAUAAAGGGGGAUGGGCUCGCGGCCUAUCAGCUUGUUGGUGGGGUGAUGGCCGACCAAGGCGGUGACGGGUAGCCGGCCGAAGAGGGUGACCGGCCAUGUUGGGAGGGCGAUACGCCCCAGGGACCUACGGGUGGGGGCAGUGGGGCAUAGUGCGCAAGGCGGGCGAGGCUAAUGCAGGGAAGCCACGUGGGGGAUGGAGGCGUUCGUGUUGUUAACCUCGGUAGCUAUCGAACGGGUAGGUGGUGAAGAAGCGCCGGCUAACUACGUGCCAGCCGCCGCGGUAAUUC
rnacentral:rRNA from 1 species